GGACUGAAGUUGGUUCUUUAGAUAUUUUACGUGAAGAUUCUUGAUUCUCACUCUUGAUGCUUCUGUGCAUAUUAGAGAAUGGUGAAGGUUUGAUCGUCCAGACAUGUGAUUUUUAGUCCUUGGUAUUAUAUAGCUUCAAGGAACAGACAUUUAGGAAUGUUGUUAGGACCCACUACAAAUGGAAAUUUAAUGCAGUCAUUUACAGGGAGACUUUAGUUUCACCAGUCACCUGUGGUAUUGCAGACAUCUAAGAUCAACACUAUUUGGGGGAGCUAAUAUGUGAGCACCAUGAUGCUUAAGGAAAUCUCCAAAAUGUUUGAACCAAGUUGAAGCUGCUGCCAGAGGUGAAGAGCCCAGUUGUAAUUGAAGGUGGAAUUUAGGAAAAGGUGCUCGUCUACUUCUGCAUCUCCCUCAAUUGUACACUAAUUGACUAAAUUAUUUUGGUUUUACUAACUGCUGGUAUUGGUUUUAUUUGAUUGGUUGCCUCGGUAAA